rnacentral:rRNA from 1 species
AUCGAACGCUGGCGGCAGGCCUAACACAUGCAAGUCGAACGAGUGGCGGACGGGUGAGUAAUGUCUGGGAAACUGCCUGAGGGAGGGGGAUAACUACCGGAAACGGUAGCUAAUACCGCAUACCAUCAGAUGUGCCCAGAUGGGAUUAGCUAGUUGGUGGGGUAACGGCUCACCAAGGCGACGAUCCCUAGCUGGUCUGAGAGGAUGACCAGCCACCCUGGAACUGAGACACGGUCCAAACUCCUACGUGAGGCAGCGGUGGGGAAUAUUGCACAAUGGGCGCAAGCCUGAUGCGACCAUGCCGCGUGUAUGAAGAAGGCGUUCGGGUUGUAAAGUACUUUCAGCGGGGAGGCGUUACCCGCAGAAGAAGCACCGGCUGACUCCGUGCCAGCCGCCGCGGUAAUUC